rnacentral:rRNA from 1 species
CAAUUUAUACAGUGAAACUGCGAAUGGCUCAUUAAAUCAGUUAUCGUUUAUUUGAUAGUUCCUUUACUACAUGGUAUAACUGUGGUAAUUCUAGAGCUAAUACAUGCUUAAAAUCUCGACCCUUUGGAAGAGAUGUAUUUAUUAGAUAAAAAAUCAAUGUCUUCGGACUCUUUGAUGAUUCAUAAUAACUUUUCGAAUCGCAUGGCCUUGUGCUGGCGAUGGUUCAUUCAAAUUUCUGCCCUAUCAACUUUCGAUGGUAGGAUAGUGGCCUACCAUGGUUUCAACGGGUAACGGGGAAUAAGGGUUCGAUUCCGGAGAGGGAGCCUGAGAAACGGCUACCACAUCCAAGGAAGGCAGCAGGCGCGCAAAUUACCCAAUCCUAAUUCAGGGAGGUAGUGACAAUAAAUAACGAUACAGGGCCCAUUCGGGUCUUGUAAUUGGAAUGAGUACAAUGUAAAUACCUUAACGAGGAACAAUUGGAGGGCAAGUCUGGUGCCAGCAGCCGCGGUAAUUCCAGCUCCAAUAGCGUAUAUUAAAGUUGUUGCAGUUAAAAAGCUCGUAGUUGAACUUUGGGCCCGGUUGGCCGGUCCGAUUUUUUCGUGUACUGGAUUUCCAACGGGGCCUUUCCUUCUGGCUAACCUUGAGUCCUUGUGGCUCUUGGCGAACCAGGACUUUUACUUUGAAAAAAUUAGAGUGUUCAAAGCAGGCGUAUUGCUCGAAUAUAUUAGCAUGGAAUAAUAGAAUAGGACGUUUGGUUCUAUUUUGUUGGUUUCUAGGACCAUCGUAAUGAUUAAUAGGGACGGUCGGGGGCAUCAGUAUUCAAUUGUCAGAGGUGAAAUUCUUGGAUUUAUUGAAGACUAACUACUGCGAAAGCAUUUGCCAAGGACGUUUUCAUUAAUCAAGAACGAAAGUUAGGGGAUCGAAGAUGAUCAGAUACCGUCGUAGUCUUAACCAUAAACUAUGCCGACUAGGGAUCGGGUGGUGUUUUUUUAAUGACCCACUCGGCACCUUACGAGAAAUCAAAGUCUUUGGGUCCUGGGGGGA